UACGUAGGGGGCUAGCGUUGUCCGGAAUCAUUGGGCGUAAAGAGCGUGUAGGCGGCCCGGUAAGUCCGCUGUGAAAGUCGGGGGCUCAACCCUCGAAUGCCGGUGGACACUGUCGGGCUAGAGUGCGGAAGAGGCGAGUGGAAUUCCUGGUGUAGCGGUGAAAUGCGCAGAUAUCAGGAGGAACACCGAUUGCGAAGGCAGCUCGCUGGGACGUAACUGACGCUGAGACGCGAAAGCGUGGGGAGCAAACAGG
rnacentral:rRNA from 1 species